rnacentral:rRNA from 1 species
AUACGGAGGAUGCGAGCGUUAUCCGGAUUUAUUGGGUUUAAAGGGAGCGUAGGCGGGAGCUUAAGUCAGCGGUUAAAUGGUGCGGCUCAACCGUGCCCUGCCGCUGAAACUGGGUUUCUUGAGAGUGCAAGAGGCGGAUGGAAUUCAUGGUGUAGCGGUGGAAUGCUUAGAUAUCAUGAAGAACUCCGAUUGCGAAGGCAGUCCGCUGGGGCACGUCUGACGCUGAUGCUCGAAGGUGCGGGUAUCGAACAGGAUUAGAUACCCUGGUAGUCCGCACAGUAAACGAUGGAUACUCGCUGUCGGCGAUAUACGGUCGGUGGCCAAGCGAAAGCGUUAAGUAUCCCACCUGGGGAGUACGCCGGCAACGGUGAAACUCAAAGGAAUUGGCGGGG